ACUGCAACCGCGCAGAACAGGUUUUAAAAGCUUGUUAAAAGCUACCUGUAUGGCGAGUCUGAGUUA
rnacentral:sRNA from 1 species